GAGUUUGAUCCUGGCUCAGGAUGAACGCUGGCGGCGUGCUUAACACAUGCAAGUCGAACGGGGUGCCUAUGAUAGAGGAUUCGUCCAAUUGAUUAGGCUACCUAGUGGCGGACGGGUGAGUAACGCGUGAGUAACCUGCCUUGGAGUGGGGAAUAACAGUCCGAAAGGACUGCUAAUACCGCAUGAUGCAGCGAGGUCGCAUGGCCUUGCUGCCAAAGUAUUUACGCUCUGAGAUGGACUCGCGUCUGAUUAGC
rnacentral:rRNA from 1 species